GAAUCCUGGGGAGCCCGCCCCGCCCCCUGGCUCCCGCACCCUCCAAUGAUUUUGGCCUACAGGGGGAAGUUCCAUCCAAUCAAGUGUCGGAAAACCCGGCCAGUCCCCGAGAGUGUAGCCAAUGGAACACGACUCCGGCAACACACCCGCCCUGAUCCACUAGGAACAAACCUCCCUGAGCUCUGCGGUGGGACCCUGAUCCUGGCGCCCUGAGCAAGUCAAGUCCGGCUGGAGCUGUGUCACAAAGUGAGAGGCUAUCAAGGCAGACUAUACAUCACAGGAAUGAUUUAUUUCUGAAGCUGAAGCACUCAUUGAUAAAACUUGUGACUCUGCAGCUGUCUUGAAGAGAGAAAGAGAGCAAGCUUAAGCAGGGUGAGUGGGAGAGGAAGAAGCAG